GUCCAAAGAAAAGAGAUAAAAACCUCUUAAAACUUAAAAUCAAAAUCCUUUAGGCGCAGUCUCCUUCAAAACCACCGGUUCUUCAGCCAUUGACAAGCAAUACUUAGCAAUCUCUCUGAACUUAGGCACACUCCUAAGAUCAACCUUAGUACCAUCUUUCAAGGUAAUCACAAUAUCACCCCAUUCGCCUAUAAAACGCGGCACGACUUGCACAUCCUUAAUCACCUUGUAAGAGAAAUCACUCCUGUCUUGACCUGUCAACCCUGAAAUCACCGUCACACGUAGGUUCGUGAACCUGUAUCUCAGAUAAAAGGCCCUCGACACUGCAGCUAGAGUCAAUGGUAGCCAAAGCAGAGUGAAACCCAGUAGCAGAUUGGCUACGAGGUCCCCGUAGUGUGCUCCACCGUCGAAAAAGGUUGUUUCUUCCUUAGAUUUUUUUGAGGGGGUGGUGGUAAUGGGUUUGUUGGUCGG
rnacentral:misc_RNA from 1 species